AUGUCUGGGAAACUGCCUGAUGGAGGGGGAUAACUACUGGAAACGGUGGCUAAUACCGCAUAACGUCGCAAGACCAAAGAGGGGGACCUUCGGGCCUCUUGCCAUCAGAUGUGCCCAGAUGGGAUUAGCUUGUUGGUGAGGUAACGGCUCACCAAGGCGACGAUCCCUAGCUGGUCUGAGAGGAUGACCAGCCACACUGGAACUGAGACACGGUCCAGACUCCUACGGGAGGCAGCAGUGGGGAAUAUUG
rnacentral:rRNA from 1 species